rnacentral:rRNA from 1 species
AGAUGGCGACCGGCGCACGGGUGAGUAACACGUAUCCAACCUGCCGAUAACUCGGGGAUAGCCUUUCGAAAGAAAGAUUAAUACCCGAUGGUAUAAUCAGACCGCAUGGUUUGAUUAUUAAAGAAUUUCGGUUAUCGAUGGGGAUGCGUUCCAUUAGGCAGUUGGUGAGGUAACGGCUCACCAAACCUUCGAUGGAUAGGGGUUCUGAGAGGAGGUCCCCCACAUUGGAACUGAGACACGGUCCAA